rnacentral:rRNA from 1 species
CGGACGUGGGUAACCUGCCCUAUACACAUGGAUAACAUACUGAAAAGUUUAUUAAUACAUGAUAAUAUAUAUUUACGGCAUCGUAGAUAUAUCAAAGUGUUAGCGGUAUAGGAUGGACCCGCGUCUGAUUAGCUAGUUGGUGAGAUAACUGCCCACCAAGGCGACGAUCAGUAGCCGACCUGAGAGGGUGAUCGGCCACAUUGGAACUGAGACACGGUCCAA